GUGACGCCCUCGGGGAGGCCGUGACGCAGGGGGCGGGGUCCGGGCGCGCCCCGCCCUGCCGCUUCACCUCCCCUCCACCCGGGUCCCAGGCCGCGCCACACGGGGCUCGCUCCCUGGCCUCUGAGCCGGCGGGGCGGCUGGUCUCCUUCCUCCUGCCUCGGCGGGGGCCGCUCUCCCUGGGCAACCUGGGGCAGGGCCUAGGAAGGCCUCUUCCUGCGCCCCUACUCCAGCCUGGAGGAUGGAGAUCCGGCUGCCGCCAAGAGUGUAAAUAGCUAUAUGUGGCUAUCAUAUUGGCCAGCCACAAUGGGGAGAUGAUGGAGAGGCGUGCUACUUAAGGUCAUGGAUCCCCAGGACGGCCAGCCAGAAAGGACACUGACUCCAACUCCGCCUUUUUGCAAGGGGUGAACAGCCACCAUGAAGAAGGACACCAUUUGUGGCCUCAGGAGCCAGUCUUGCUGACGCUCACGUAGUGGAAACUCCCUUGGUAGUACUGGGGGUCGCUGCCUCCCAACACCACCUCUCCUCCAAGCAAGUGGGAAUUCCUAGAGGGAAGAUCAGAGCUCUUGAAGACCCGUGACCUCUGAGACCCAGCACCCCAGCAACGAGGGACGUUGGGCAUGGGGACCAGGGGUGGGGGAGCAGAGGAAGGCGGGAGGACGGCAAGGCUGGGAAGCCGCAGAAACACUUCUCCACCGCUCCUGCCCCUCCCCAAGCCCAACCAGACGUGGUUCCAGAAUAAUCCAGCUGCACUUGAUAAAACAUCCCCAGCAAGGUCACGGCAAAGGAACCAAUGCCAGGACAGUGAGUGGAGAGCAAGAUGACGAUUGCCCCCCGCACUUGGGUGUUCUGGAAGGGCAGGGACUCUUUUGUACACUGUGUUCGUGGCUGCACCCCAGAACCUCCCGUGAUGCUUGGCACGUGAGCUCGCGAUAUUUGUUGAAUCAAUGGAUGAGCAAAUAAA